rnacentral:lncRNA from 1 species
AUGGGCCUCAAGGAUCAUGAGGCUCCAGCCCUCUCAACACAGGCAGGGCACCAACCUCCCCAUUUAAUACCAGACCAGGCUGCCCAGGGCCCCAUCCAACCUGGUCUUGAACACCUUCAGGGACAGGGCAUCCAUAACCUAUCUGGGAAGCCUGUUCCAGCACCUCACCACUCUGUAAAGAACUUCCCCCUGACAUCCAAACUAAAUCUUCCCUCCCUCAACUUAACAGCAUUUCCUGCUGUUAUCUGCUCUUUCAAAGAGUUGAUUCCCCUCCUGUUUAUAGGCUCCCUUCAGGCACUGGAAGGCUGCAGUGAGGUCACCAUACAGCCCUCUGUUCUCCAGGCUGAACAAGCCCAGCUCCCUCAGCCUGUCUUCGUAGGGGAGGUGCUCCAAUCAAGCAAAGGACUGCACAAUCUUAACACUUCACCGCAGCCUUGCGUUAUUUCAACGCGCCCAUUUCCAACGGCACGGCAACUCGCAUCUAGAAACUCUGUUUUACAAACACAGGGGUACGACUCUGCCAUUAAACGAGGCACGGCUGCAGCACGGCCGCCAGUCAGGCCUAGGGGCUCUCUCCCGCCCUCGGGCCCGGGGCCGCCUCACUCCGGGUCACAGUAUCACAGUCUGGUGCGGGUUGGAAGGGACCUUAGAGAUCAUCGAGUCCAACCCCCGGGAUUCGAGCCCCUGUGUAGCAGAGCGGCACUUCCACCACUUGCGCCACAGGGGGGAUUCGAACCCGGGCCUCUGGUGUUGCACAGCGGCGUUCUUAACCACUGCGCCACCGGAGGCACACACAUUAGAGCGGGUCCUCCCGCUCUAAUCCCGUCACCCGCCGCCCCAUCCACCCGCUCGCCGCCCUCCUCCCACCUGUUCUCCCGCCGGCUCCGCCGCGCGCUGCCGCCGCUUCCCGCCACCUGUCAUGCUCCCGCCGUGCGCAUCGCGCCUCGCCCCGCCCCUUCCGAGGUCGCUCGCGGAGCCUCCGCGCGUGCGCACGGCACCCGCCCCUCCGGGACCGGCCCCGCCCCGCUCCGCGCGCUGCGCUGUGGUGUGAGCUGA